rnacentral:misc_RNA from 1 species
GAUGAAGAACGCAGCGAAAUGCGAUAAGUAAUGUGAAUUGCAGAAUUCAGUGAAUCAUCGAAUCUUUGAACGCACCUUGCACCCUUUGGCAUUCCGAAGGGUAUGCUCGUUUGAGUGUCAUUGUACUCUCACACUUCCAAUCUUUGGAUUGGGGGCGGUGGACUUGGGUGUUGCUGCUUACUGUGGCUCACCUCAAAUUGAUUCGUGCAUCUCUUGGUUGGACAUAGUACGGCGUGAUAAGUGUCUUCGCCGGCACCUCAGUAGAGGGUGGCUGAUCGGGAGCUCUGUGCUUCAAACCGUCCUCGGACAACAACUGACAACUUGACCUCAAAUCGAGUAGGACUACCCGCUGAACUUAAGCAUAUCAAUAAGCGGAGGA